rnacentral:misc_RNA from 1 species
GUAUUGUAUUGCGUUAAACGCGGCAUGCAUUCCAUGAGACUUUGUUACAGUGUGUGUGUAAAGACGCAGAACCACAGCAGGAGGACAGGCCCCCUGACCAUAGAACCACGGAGGGUGCACAGGGUGUGAGUGGAUGUGUGAACAGAGUGUGCACAUGUCCCCAUUUGAGGACCAGCAACAACUCUUGUUGACAAUUCGGUAAUGAUCCUUCCGCAGGUUCACCUACGGAAA